GUUGCGUGUUGCUGCGAGUGUUGUGAUGGUGCAUUACUGACAAGUGUGUGAUGGGUAGAAAGUUCUCAAAAACGAUAACUUUUGCGACGUUACCCAUAUUAAUGUGUGUAUUUUUCGUUCUGGAGAGUUCUAACAACACGAGAGAAGAUUCGCAUGAAUGAAGGACUCAGACAUGAAAGCAAGGGCAAGACUUCGACGAAUACCGUGUUAAAAUUAAUAGAGUAGUGAGUAGCAAUAUUUUGUGUCACGUAUUGGUGAAAUUAAUGUUCGUGGUUUAACGACAGAUGGAGUGAAGUGAUAUAUAUGUAAAUGAAUUGAAAAAGCAAGACAGGAAAAGGAAUGAGACAACGUGCAAAGAGGCUGCUGCAACACAUGUUUCGUGCCGUUUACGUGGAAUCGUACGUCUUUGUACUUAAGGAGACGACGUUGAGGACUCAGCGUAUUAUUCAGAUGUGGCUGUGAUAUUGAAAAUCUUUUCUCUCUUUCUCCGCCAGUUGACAACAACAAGAACAGAAAAAUUCGUUCAAGAAUUUAAUUCUGAAGUUAUUCGAGCGAUUAAAGGAUUUCAUCGACGUACGAAGACAACCGACAAAAGACCAUUCUCGGGACGGAUAUUUCUGACCCGUGUUAGAUAGCAACUUCAUGGCUGUAGUUGGUCCUAGCAGACACUCCAGAGUGUCCAUGUCCGUGUCGAUGCCGCUCAUGCCUGGCGGGGGAGGAGGGGGAGGACACCAACAAGCCAUAUUAGCAGCUGCCCAGCCUUAUUACCACCCACAACAUUCUCACCAAACGCCAGCAACGCCUGCACAUUCUCACACACAGGAUGUGCAACCGGAUAGACCAAUCGGUUAUGGAGCUUUCGGAGUCGUUUGGGCGGUGACGGACCCGAGGGACGGGCGGCGCGUCGCGCUCAAGAAGCUGCCCAACGUCUUCCAGUCGCUCGUCUCGUCCAAGCGCGUCUUCCGCGAGCUCAAGAUGCUCUGCUUCUUCAAGCACGAGAACGUGCUGUCCGCGUUGGACAUCCUCCAGCCGCCGCACCUGGACUUCUUCCAGGAAAUCUAUGUCAUCACGGAGCUCCUGCAGAGUGAUCUACACAAAAUAAUAGUAUCUCCCCAGCACCUGUCCGCCGACCACAUCAAAGUCUUCCUCUACCAGAUCCUCAGAGGUCUGAAAUACCUGCAUUCUGCACGCAUCUUGCACCGUGAUAUAAAACCGGGGAACCUACUUGUCAACAGCAAUUGUGUCCUCAAGAUCUGCGACUUCGGGUUGGCACGCGUAGAGGAGCCAGACCAGUCAAAGCACAUGACUCAGGAGGUGGUGACACAGUACUACCGGGCGCCUGAAAUACUGAUGGGCGCGCGACACUACUCCGCUGCCGUAGACGUCUGGAGCGUCGGCUGCAUCUUCGGGGAGCUUCUUGGGCGACGCAUCCUCUUUCAAGCGCAGAGCCCAGUCCAACAGCUGGAGUUAAUAACGGAACUACUUGGCACACCGUCACUGGAAGACAUGCGGUACGCUUGUGACGGGGCACGAACCCACAUGCUGCGACGUGCACCAAAGCCGCCCUCCAUGGCUGCCCUAUACACCCUCUCCUCACAGGCCACGCAUGAGGCAGUGCACCUGCUGUGCCAGAUGCUGGUUUUUGACCCUGACAAACGAAUAACAGUUGGUGAUGCUCUGGCUCACCCGUACUUGGACGAGGGCCGCUUAAGAUACCACUCCUGCAUGUGCAAGUGUUGCUACACGACUCCGGGAGGCCUCAGGCAGUACACACCGGACUUCGAGCCUGUUGCACCCCACAGCUUUGAUGAUCUGUGGGAGAAGAAGCUGACUUCUGUUCAGCAGGUCAAAGAGGAAAUGCACAAGUUUAUUGCAGAACAACUGAAUACCAGUAGAGUCCCGUUGUGCAUUAAUCCUCAAUCUGCAGCUUUCAAGAGUUUUGCCAGGUAAGGCUGCAACCACAGCCACAAGAGGCAAACAUCUGGAGGGCCUUCUCUUCUCCUACUUCAUCCCUUCCCCGAUAAUGAUCGAUAAAGCUCUAUGUCGUACUCCGGACAUGCUGAGAGGCUCUACAGUUGCCCACCCGUCUGAACUACCUCCCUCGCCCCAUCAAUGGGAGUGACGCUAUCCUCAUCCUAGCAUCCAAUUGUGAAAAUGUCUAGAAUAUUCUCGUUCUCGCCCGGUUGUUGGGUUGCUUCUCUUCCACAUGUGGCAGCCGAGUGGGGUAUGGUUUGCACCUAAUGCAAAUUAAUAACUUAACAUACCUGAAUUUUGAUUCCAGACUAAUCUUCACAAACUAACGUUUCUAAACGUGGUGGUGAAGUGUGUAGGAGUGUGGCUGUUGGGAGAGUAAGGACACAUCAUGAUGGCAACCGUCAAAAAUAAAAGAUUUCGUAUUGUUGGUAAAUACUAAUAAACAAAUUGGGAAGUGUAAAUAGUGAACUGUGCCUCUGUAUAUACCGAGAUGUGAUUGUAUUAAUGAUGCCAUUACAUGCAAUCAGUGCAGUGUUAAUGAACAAGUGAAAAUGUGUGUGACAGUCAUUUGAUAUUUGCUUGAAAAUGUGGUAUUAACUCUGACAGGCCUGUUCAGAGAGUAACCGUGUCAAGUGGCAAAAGAAGUGUGUGUUCAUUAGUACUGAUUGAACACUGUAUUCAAACUGUGUGUGUGUGUGUGUGUGUGUGUGUGUGUGUGUGUGUGUGUGUGUGUGUGUGCGUGCACACAUGUGCGCCAGUGGAUUUGUACACAAAAUAAUGGUAUCUGCCUAGUAUCUGGAAGGCAGUUUCAUGGUAAAUCAGUGCAUUUGAUACAAAAUUUAUUUGACUGUUAAUUUAUCUACUUAAUAAGGCAUGUAUCUUUAUUUAUGUAUUGUAAAAAUAUUUAGUGGUGAGUUAUCAUAUAUAUCUGAGACUGCAGUGCAUUCAAAUUUUCUGGUGUUUGAAUAGUGAGAUCUGAAAUUGGUUUCUUUCAGUUACUGCAUUGCUUCUUCCUUAUCUGUGUCCUAACUCAUAAAACACUUUCUUGAUAUGUCUGUAGUUCCAGUUGGCUAACACGUUUCCUUGUCUUAUUUCACCUUCAUUAUAGUUGUAGCAUAAAUUUAAGUGCUGCUUAAGUUGUGGGCAUAGCAAGAUGCAUAGUAACUGUUAGUGUAGGAGACUAAGUUAACUGAUGGGGAAAUAUCUGAUACUGAUGUUCAUAAAGUAGU